AAAGCGAGUUCAAGCUCCAAUCUUACUUCGCCUCUAGUCUCAUAAUUUUCAAAAUCAAAUUACAUAUCUGCUCUCAUCACUACCUAGGACACUGCCAUUAUGCCUCAUAAUCAUAAUCAUAAUCAUUCAUGAAGCUUUGGCAUGCAGCAUCGGCAUAGAUUACAAAAAAAAAACGGUUAAUGCCUAGCAAAAUUCGUGAAGCCACAACUAUGCUUUUUCUCUUCACACGCAUUAUCUCUGCCCUCUUCCCCCAUUUCUCCUUCCCUCUUCCUAAAGCUACAGCACCGAAAUGAACAAAAUCUAAGCUUACAUCUAAAAACCCAAAAAUCAAUGCAACAAAUUGGCAAACGAAUGCAAAAAAUCUAUAACAAUUGAAGUUCAGAAAUUCACAAACCAAAGAGAUUACAUAUUACAUAUUUAUAUAUUAAUAUAGAGUGGACGUUAUAGUGUUUUUCUCCUAACCAAUUAUAUUCAUUAAUGGGCAUUUAAGCAGUAUGAGCUUCGAGUACAACUCUCUUUGAUACCCAAAAAAAAUGCAUAAAUCAAUAUAGACUAUGAUUAUAAAGUGAAACAUCAAUGAAUAGACAAUUUUUUUUCAACCAUUGAGAAUUCUACCAACCUUUAUAGGAGACUCUUGCAUUUAGCUAUUUGCCAUUGUUUUUUAAUAUAAGUAAGGUUCCCUCUUUCAAGGUAGCCUCCAUAGGGGUUGUAUUCAUUUAUCUACAUUAAAUAAUCAGUGGCAGCCUUGUAAACUUCAUCGCUCAUCUCAUCUCUCAAACCUUUCAAUUUUUCAACCUCAUUUUCAAUUACUCUUAAACCAACAAAUUGAAAUAUAACCAUACAUCAUUGCAAACAAAGCAAUUCAGGAUUCAGUUACAAAGAAAAGGAAUAAAUGGAGUAUAUGCAAAUGCUAGAACAACACAAUAACUUAAAUAUUAUAUUACUAAGAAUAGAUGUUAGAAUUAAGCUGCAUUUUUCCUAAAUUCAAGUUGAAGCAAAUCACUUUUCCUUGCAGUUAUAUUCUUAGUUUUCAUGUAAGGAUGCUUUUAGCAAUAUGACCAAGUUUAAUCACAAAAUGAGAGAAAUGUAGAAAGAAGAGCAUAGGUGAGAGAAUCAACUAGAACAAACCUGGAAAAGUUUAAUCACAAAAUCAGAACAGAUUCACAAUUAUACAAUCAGUCAUACCACAGAUACCAUUCACCCUUGAGGAAGGUAAUGAAACAGGAAGAUGCCCAGUAUUUUGACAAUAGAACUUUCCCUAUUGACAUGCUGAUGUUCCUUCCUCUUCUUUGGUGUAUAUUAUCAGUUAUAUAGCAAAAGUCUUCCACAUUUAGAGGCUGAUUUCUUCAUAUUUUAUACAUUCUGCAAUCAAAAUAAAGAAAUGUAAGCAAACUCCGCAAAAUCUACAAACAUCAGUUGAACAAUAAGCCUUAAUCCAAAGAUACAACAAAUUGAAAGAGGUCAAGUUCUUAUGAUGCAAUAAGCAUUGAGGAAACACCACCCAGUAGUUAGUUUCUCCCUGUUAAGAACAUUAAAAGACACAAAUCUGUCUAUGUACAUGAGAGUGAGAUAGUAUAAUAACAAAAAUAAUAUAU
rnacentral:misc_RNA from 1 species